rnacentral:rRNA from 1 species
AUUGAACGCUGGCGGCAGGCCUAACACAUGCAAGUCGAGCGAGCGGCGGACGGGGGAGUAAUGUAUGGCUAACUGCUUGAAGGAGGGGGCUAUCUACUGGAAACGGUAGCUAAUACAGCACACCCUCAGAUGUGUCCAGAUGGGAUUAGCUAGUAGGUGGGGGAACGGCUCACCCAGGCGACGAUCCCUAGCUGGUCUGAGAGGAUGACCAGCCACACUGGAACUGAGACACGGUCCAGACUCCUACGGGAGGCAGCAGUGGGGAAUAUUGCACAAUGGGGGAAAGCCUGAUGCAGCCAUGCCGCGUGUAUGAAGAAGGCCUUCGGGUUGUAAAGCACUUUCAGCGGGGAGGCGUUAACCGCAGAAGAAGCACCGGCUAACUCCGUGCCAGCAGCCGCGGUAAUAC